rnacentral:misc_RNA from 1 species
GUCAGUACCAACUCUGUUCAGCGCUCUAUUGAGCUGUCAGGUUUUGGGGACAGCUUUGUCCUCUAAUGUAGUACGCUUGCGAACUUUCACACCGAUCAUAACGUAGUAAUCUUACACCGCUAUCGAGAGGUUGGAAGCCGCCUGAAAUUCAAACUCUGUAGUUUGACCUCAGAUCAGACAAGGAUACCCGCUGAACUUAA